rnacentral:misc_RNA from 1 species
UUUCUCUUUUUCAAAGAAAAGAGAGCAAUCAUUUUCAGCUGCAGAUAGAUUAUGAGAAAUUUGAAUGUCUGACCGACAUGGACCUGGAGGGCCAAUACCAAGGGAAACAGCACAGCUGCUAGGAGGGAGAAUUGUUGGAGAUGUAACUGCACCAAAUUGAAUUUUCUCCCCCGCAAGCAAUGAGUUGAUUGGACUCGCAGCGGAGGAAAAUGUCUUGUCCUUAGUCAAGAUGGAUGAUGGUGGCAAGCUGGACUCACCAACUGAUUUAG